AGCGAACGCUGGCGGCAUGCCUAACACAUGCAAGUCGCACGGUCGGGGGGGUGACCUUCGGCAGUGGCGGACGGGUGAGUAACGCGUAGGGAUCUAUCCUUGGAUGGGGGACAACCGCGGGAAACCGCGGCUAAUACCGCAUGAUGCCUGAGGGCCAAAAGCUCGCGAGAGCGUCUGGGGAGGAGCCUGCGUCCGAUUAGCUUGUUGGUGGGUAACGGCCCACCAAGGCGUCGAUCGGUAGCUGGUCUGAGAGGAUGAUCAGCCACACUGGGGACUGAGACACGGCCCAGACGCCUACGGGAGGCAGCAGUGGGGAAUAUUGGACAAUGGGCGCAAGCCUGAUCCAGCAAUGCCG
rnacentral:rRNA from 1 species